CCUACGGGCGGCAGCAGUGGGGAAUAUUGGGCAAUGGGCGCAAGCCUGACCCAGCAACGCCGCGUGAAGGAAGAAGGCCCUCGGGUUGUAAACUUCUUUUAUCAGGGACGAAACAAAUGACGGUACCUGCUGAAUAAGCCACGGCUAACUAAGUGCCAGCAGCCGCGGUAAUACGGAGGUGGCAAGCGUUAUCCGGAUUUACUGGGUGUACAGGGUGUGUAGGCGGGUCUGCAAGUCAGAUGUGAAAUCUCAUGGUUCAACCAUGGAACUGCAUUUGAAACUGUCCAUCUUGAGUGAUGGAGAGGCAUGCGGAAUGCGGGGUGUAGCGGUGAAAUGCGUAGAUAUAGGGAAGAACACCAGUGGCGAAGGCAGCCUGCUGGAUAUUAACUGACGCUGAGGCGCGAAAGCGUGGGGAGCAAACAGGAUUAGAUACCCCGGUAGUC
rnacentral:rRNA from 1 species